rnacentral:rRNA from 1 species
UAUUUUGACUAUACAAAGGUAUUGAAAUAAGAUUUUAAUUGAAUGCUAAGAGAAUGGAAUUUCAGAAAAAAACUUUUUUUAAAUUAAAAAUUGAAAUUUUUUUAAUUUGUGCAGAAACAAUUAUUAACAUUAAGGACAAGAAGACCCUAUGAAUUUUUAAAAUUUUUAAUAAUAGUAAUUUAUUAUUAUUAAAAAUUUUAGCUGGGGUGGCUAAAAAAUAUAAUUAACUUUUUAAGAAUAAAACGAUCCACUAAUAAUGAUUACAUGUUAAAUACUCUAGGGAUAACAGCGUUAUAUUUUUUGAUAGACCAUAUUGACAAAAAAGUUUGCGACCUCGAUGUUGGAUUAGGAUACUUUUUUAAUGAAGAUAUUAAAAAAAGAAGUUUGUUCAACUUUUAAUUUCCU